rnacentral:rRNA from 1 species
AUACGGAGGAUGCAAGCGUUAUCCGGAUUUAUUGGGUUUAAAGGGUGCGUAGGCGGAUGAUUAAGCGUGAGGUGAAAUGCCACUGCUCGACAGUGGAACUGCCUCGCGAACUGGUUGUCUUGAAUGCUCCCGCCGUGGGAGGAAUGUGUGGUGUAGCGGUGAAAUGCAUGGAGAUCACACAGAACGCCGAUUGCUAAGGCAUCCCCCGAAGCGGGGAUAGUCGCUGUGGCCCGUACGCGUGGCAAUAAAAAAGGAUUAGAUUCCGUGGUCGUCGUUGAGGUAAACGCUGACACAUCUCCGUUGUCUCGCAGUGAUUCAGUGGCCAAGCCACAGUAAUUAGGGAGCCCCCUGGGGAGUAAGACAGCAAGGUGGAAACUGAAACGAAUUGAUGGGG